GACGAACGCUGGCGGCGUGCUUAACACAUGCAAGUCGAACGGUAAGGCCCUUCGGGGUACACGAGUGGCGAACGGGUGAGUAACACGUGGGUGAUCUGCCCUGCACUUCGGGAUAAGCCUGGGAAACUGGGUCUAAUACCGGAUAGGACCCUGGGAUGCAUGUCCUGGGGUGGAAAGCUUUUGCGGGGUGGGAUGGGCCCGCGGCCUAUCAGCUUGUUGGUGGGGUGAGGACCUACCAAGGCGACGACGGGUAGCCGGCCUGGGAGGGUGACCGGCCACACUGGGCCUGAGGUAGGGCCCAGACUCCUACGGGAGGCAGCAGUGGGGAAUAUUGCACAAUGGGCGCAAGCCUGAUGCAGCGACGCCGCGUGAGGGAUGACGGCCUUCGGGUUGUAAACCUCUUUCAGCACCGACGAAGCGCAAGUGACGGUAGGUGCAGAAGAAGGACCGGCCAACUACGUGCCAGCCGCCGCCGUAA
rnacentral:rRNA from 1 species